ACUAAUUUGGCAGAUGAAGUGCGGUGGAUUUAGAAUCUAUAUAUGUGGUUAUGAUUACACAUUUAGUA
rnacentral:tRNA from 1 species